UCAGACACACAAGCCUCCAGGCAGUGAUAUAAGGAAGAGAGGGCUCAGGCCAGACACGGGGAGGACCACCAGGGUGGCGAGAAGCUGGAGGGCUCGAUGCCCACCCCGUAUGCACACCAGGCCGCCCUGGCCUCUGCCUGCCUCUGGCCUGCUUCCUGCCCACUGCAAAGUCACUUGGACUAUUGUAUCAGCUUCCUGAUAGGUCUACCUGCUAUCUCCCUACAGUCUACCCUCCACACAGCAGCCAGCAUAAUCUUUUUUUGUGACAAUGCCAAGUUCUUCCCCACCCCAGGGCCUUUGAACAUGCUGUUCCCUCUGCCUGGAAUGCUUUCUCCUCUGCUCUUCCCAAGGCUGACUCCUCUCAACUUUCAGGCUUUACCUUAAGUGGCACCUCCUCAGAGUGGCCUUUCCUGGCCUAUUUUUCUCCACCUCUGCAGCCUGUUUGUUUGAUAACCUCUGCUCACAUGUUAAUUUCUCUAGCUGUUUAUUGUCCAUCUCCCUCACUAGACUGUAAACUCCAUGAGGAUGGAGACCAUGUUUGUUUUGGUCACUAAUGUAUCGCCAGCACCUGGCACUGUCAAUAAAUAUUUGUCGAAUGAAUGAACCUUCCCUGACCCUCUAAGAUAGAUGGGACCUCUCUGUACAGGGAACUCUGGAGGCUUCUUUCCUGCCCUCGUGCCUUCAUCACGUUCUCCCUUGUGUUACUUUGUAUGGAUCUGCCUCUUCUCUCUGAUAAUCCUAGGCUCCUGGUGUCGCUCUCCUUGGCUACCCCUUCAGACUUUGCGCCAGGCCUAGAGGAGGGGGCAGGUGUACUUGUUUGAUGGUGAAUGAAAGAACGAAUGAAAGCUGUCUCAGCAUGGUCUCAGGGAAACAACUGAGGGGACUCAGAACUCAAGAUGGAUCUCGUGGGCAUUUGAUUUUCACUCCCCGAAGCUGUCUGUUCUGCUUCAACUUUUUCUGGGUGGAGGGCCUGUGUCUGAGGAAAGCAAAGCAAGUCUCUGAGUUGUGAGAAGGUGUGAUCGCCCAGCCACAGGGUGGAUGUGUGUGGGGGGGUGAUGUGUCUGAGGGGAGUGUGAAACCAUCGGUCUGAGGGUUUGUGUGAGUAAGUGGGUAUUGAAGAUGUGUACGUGUGAGUGCAUGUGUGAGUGACUGGGGAGUCUGAGGGGUGUGUGACUGGCCUGAGGGGUGGGUGUGCAUGAGAGUGUGCGUGAGAUGGGAGCUUCUGUGGUAGGUGUAUGACGGUGUCAGGAAUGUGGAAAGAGCCUCAGUUUGGGGGUCAUGUGGACCCAGGUUGGAGUCUGAGCAUUAUUACUUACAGGCUGUGUCUCAGGACCAAGGCUCAGUUUCCUCACCAGUAAAAUGGGGAGAGUAAUAGUUCCUACAUGGACUGAAACAACCAUUCAGUGUUGGGCACCCUUGAAACUUUUCUUGGGAAAAAGCAGGGCCUCCAAAA